GAAUGACUCAUUUAAGAGAUAGAAAACGGGGCUGGAGAGACGGCUCAGCAGUUAAGAGCACUGACUGCUCUUCCAGAGGUCCUGAGUUCAAUUCCCAGCAACCACAUGGUGGCUCACAACCAUCUGUAAUAAAAUCUAAUGCCCUCUGCAAUUGUGUCUGAAUACAGUGACAGUAUAAAUAUAAAUAAAUAAAAAUAAAUAAAUAAUUUUUUUAGAAAAAGAGAUAGAAAACCGAGGCUCAGAGAGACUGGGUGUCUGCCUGAGAUCUCACAGAGCCUCAGGGACACAAAGAGUUCUGUCAUCUUCCUUCUGUGUUCUUGCUCUCACUAACAGAAAAGUCUAAAGGUAUUUUAGUUAUUAACUAAUUCCCUUGGUUUAAUUCACUGAGAAGUAAGUAGAUCAGGGCUCACCACAUCCUCAGAACAUUACAAGGGGAUUUCAGUAGUUUUAAUGAGUGAGGUUUUGUUCCUUUAUUUUACCAUACAUUCGUCAUCUGCUCUUUACUGACCUUAUGCUGGGCUUCUAGCUUAGAGCUAUGAGUAAUAGCAAGUAGAUAUGAUUUGAGUCCUCAAGAGCAAUGAGAGAGAGAAAGAGAGAGAGAGAAAGGAGAAAGACAAGAAAGAUAAUAGAUAGGUGGAUGGAUGGAUGGAUGGAUACACAAAUAACACCUUUGUUAUGCCUCAUCUAGGAGAUAAGUUGGUUUUAGCAUCAAUACCUCCUGCUCCAACACUGUUUGGGAGCACUGGUCUUUGGGCUUUAAAAGUCUGUAAGAACAGAAGCCCAGCAGGCAGGAUAUCUUCUCUGCUCUAUUUCAAACCAGAGCUGAUGGUUGACGGCUGAUUCCGUGGGACCUGAACAUUCUGUCUUGCUGACUGAUAGAGGAAUCUAAGCCAAGAUUAGACUCUAACAUUUGUUCUCUCUGUCUCUCUGUCUCCCCUCCUCCCCCUCCCAGGAGCACAGAAUACCAAUUAUAAGUUAUAUGGUCCUUAUUAAUCAGACAAGGAAAUUAACACCUAGACAAAUUUAACCACCUGAGUUAUGAAUCCAGGUGACUAGUGAACUUUCAACCCAUUUAAACGUUUCAUUGGUUUAGGAGCCAGUACACAGGAAGAGGUUUCCUUAAGAAAGACUUCAUCUGAGAUGCUGCUGGUCCUAUGAUAAGAUAUCUUGGAAAGAAGUCAAGUUGGCUGCGAUCUCACUUUGCCACAGACUUUGAGUGAGUCACGCUCUUAUGGACGAUUCCGAGUGACUGGAAGUCAAACCAGAUUGUCCCCGGUGCCAGUUGCUCCUUCUGACAAAAGACGGAGCCAGGUGGUAGACAGGCCUGUGAUGCACCAGUCCCGGCCACGGGAACCCCCAGGGAACCCUGAGAAGUAUUCAAAGGCUGUGGCCCCACCCCAAGAUGUUUUGGGUUAAGCAUGGAAUUACUGUUCUCCCUUCAAAGCCCCAGGAUAAAAGCUGUUCAUGAAUGCCCCAAUGCCCUGAACGGCCUCGUGCCUUUGAUGCUGGGAGGACCCUCUGUGACUACGAGUAGCACAGGACUUGCCUGGUCUCACAACCCAGGGUUUCUGAAAUGGGCGAGAAGUCAAAGUCUGCUCUCUCAUCUUCCCUCGUGAGCAUGUACUUCUUGGUGUACUUUCAGUCCUCUUCAUAAUUCUCAAAAAAUACAAAAGCACUUUCUCUUAUGUGGACGGGGCUACAGCCUGUCUGGUGGGGCACGGUGAGUCUCCCCCAUUACCCCCAUGCGCCCCCACUCCCUCACACCCUCCCCACAUCUAGAGCUCUGUCAUCUGAGACCUCAGCCUGUGCUCUGUCAACUCCACCCCUGGAGAAGUUUGAGUCUACUGUGGGCUUCAAGCCAGCUCUCCACAUCAGUACUUGUCUGUCUUCCCAUGUGAGGUUCCGAAGGCCCCCAAUAUCAAGGGGCUCCCAAACGGGGAGGGGGGACUGAAGAAGUGCAAAGCAGCCCCCAGACUGCAGUUACAGACUGUCUAAAGAGGGAAAUGGGGUUCUUAUCUCCUGGCCUCAGGACAGACUGAUCCACCUAGAACCACGGAAAUCAUGAAGUGUUUUGGGUUUGCUCUCCGUUGUCUUGGAAACUCGCUGUGUAUUCUUCCGGCAGCGGCGUGACUCGUGACCUGCUAUCCUAGGACUGGGCUCUUGUUUAGUUCCCUUUGACUCCUGUCUCAACAGAAACAUUGCUGUGGUCAAGAAUUUUCAAGAUGAUUUGAAAAUGUCCGGAGUACAAAGCCGCAGGCCUCCCGCUGGGCUGGAUUUUUUGGAGGGGCGUGCCCAAGGCUGAGUAAACCUGGGUACGCACCCAUAUGGGCGAUCAGUUACAGAAGCAUGCCCUAGGGAGAAACAUUCCCAGGAACUCUCCUGCCAUUGCUGGAUCCUUGGGAGAACCACACUCAUCAAAGCAAGAAAGGCUGAGUGGCAAGAAAUCUGACAGGUCUGUCACAUUUAUGGGUUGAGGCAGUGGGCUGUCCCUAUGUUUUUCUCAGUGGCCUCUUUCCCCUUUACUAAUGAGUCCCAAAAAAAUUCUUUCUUUCUUUUAAAAAUGUGUGUGUGUGUGUGUGUGUGUGUGUGUGUGUGUGUGUGUUUGCGCAUGAGUGUGCACACCUGCAAUUUUGCCUGCAUGUACGUCUGUGCCCUAUGUGUUUUACUGGUGCCCUAGGAAGCCAAAGGGACAAGUCCCCUGGAACUAGAAUUGUGGAUGGUCGUGAACUAUCCUCUGGAUACUGCAAACCAAACCUCAGUCAUCUGCAAAAGCAACAGCAAGUGCUCUCAACCCAUAAACGAUCUCUCCCACCAAUUUCUUACAUCCAGAUCCAAACAACCUGACACUCAGGAACUGCAGGGAGGUUUCAACCUUAGAGAGAUGCCCAACUGCACAGAUUUUGCCCAAAAAGGAAAAAAAAAACUUGCAAAGUCAAGGGCUCCUUGCUUGGCAAAGCAGGGCAUCCCAGCUUGUCCUAGGGGUUUCUGGUUUGUGUUUCAGACCUGUGGGGUGGCGCUUCUCCAAAACAGAUGCGCUCAGCUCCUUGAGCAUCUGUGAGUUCAUGCUCCCUGUAACUCAAGUUGGCUUCCUCCAAACUCCUUGUCCCUACCUCACUAGGUGAAGUCCAUCCUGGGACAUGCUGUCUCUGACCUAAUGGCUCUCAAACCUCCAUGUAAAUCCGGAUAGGCCAAUGCAGUUGCACAAACAGUGCUAGGCUCUACCAGUUGUUAUCGGCUGAAGGUACCCCCUCCCCAAAUUCCUGUGUUGACAUCUUAAACCCCAAUAUGAUGUUAUUACCAAGUAGGGCCUUCGAUGGGGUCACAAAGGCAGAGCCCGCUGAAUAAAAUUAGUACCCUUAUGAACUUGCCCAUGGAAAGCUCUCUCACCCUUUCUAAGUCAGCCAUUACAGCCCUGAGGACUGUCUGCACCCAAACCAACUGUGUAAUGCUCCCUGUAACUCGAGACACCCCACGUCUAGAGCUGGGAACAGUGAGGGCCAAGCUUCUGUUGUUUACCAGCUGUGCAGGUGGUGUCAGGGUGCUGCUACAGGGACUCUGGCGACCAACAACUGCUCUGUGCAUUCUGCUAGGUAUCUCUAGGAGCUUGCUAGCCCAGGCUAUGCACGAUCACAGAGGCACAUUGCUCUGCUGAGCUCCACAAUCAAGCCCUAUGCUCAAACCUCCGUGUCAAGCUGGGCUGGCUUGAGGACUGGCUUUGACCCAUUCAUGAACUACGAGCCACCUUUAGCCUCACCCAGGGAUGUUUAUUGAGUACAUGGGGACCCGGAGCAGGAAAAAUGCCUCUUCAUCACCAAUGGAAACUCUGUAACUUUCAGGGAGAUGCCUGGGUAGCUCACACUGCCCCCACCCUGCAGGCAACAGGACCAGUGCUGGCUCCCAGGUAUGGUAGAACUGGGAGUAGAUCUUAUCUUCCUCUGAGAACUCUAAGGAUGGGACCUCAUGUGUGUAGGGUGUCCUGAUUGUUACUCUAAAGAACAGACUGACAUGCUUGUACCCACCGUCGAAUUUACGAGUGGCUUCUCCUGCUUCACAUAGACCGAUCCUGAUUCCUGGUAAGGAUUGUGCUGUUACUGGUUUCACAAACAGACAGGAGAGCUCCUGUGUGGCUGCAUUGUAGAUGGCAGGGCCUUGGCUUCCUGGAGGUGGGGUUGGGGGUGGGGGGGUGUCUUUUCAGCCAGGCACCAAGCAUUUCUGCCAGAAAUGGCUGCAGCACAUUUCCAAGCGCCACAUCUUGAAUCACAAGCGUGUGGACUCACGGCGGUCCACACCAUGAGCGGUUUAUCCAUCACUCAUCCCUGCUGGGCUCCAGAUUUCAGAGGGACUGGGCAAGCACUCUCCUGAUGGGCACAGUUGGAACCUCUCAUCAACUUGAACAAUUCUGGUCAUUGGGACAGAGACCACCAGGCCCAGCCUGAGGAUUCAUGCCCUCUGUUCUAGGAGGAAGCUAAGCCUGAUGCCUAUCUGUGAGGCCUGUUUUAUCCUCCUCCAACACCCAGCCCCAUCUCCUGCUUCUUUUCUUUUCCGUCUACAAAGCAUUUACACUUUACAAACGAUUAACCACACAGGAAAAAUGACAGCCUAGCAUAAUGAACUCCACACAUCCAUCCCCUAGGGUUAACAGCUACUCACAUCCUGCAUCUUCCCUUUCUCUUCAUUUGCCGUUUGUUUGCUUUUUUUUUUUUAACUAAACAUUUUAUUAUUUUGUGUGCAUAUGUGAGUCCGUGUGAAAAAGGUCUACAUCCAUGUGUGCGCCCAUGAUGUGGAGGUCAAAGGACAACUUCAAGUGUUAUUCUUCAGCCAUCAUUCACCUUUGAUUUGUUUUUGUUUUUGUUUUUGUUUUUUUAAAGAUUUUAUUAUGUAUAAAUAUACUGUAGCUGUCUUCAGACAUACCAGAAGAGGGCAUCAGCUCUCAUUACAGAUGGUUGUGAGCCACCAUGUGGUUGCUGGGAUUUGAACUCAGGACCUCUGGAAGAGCAGUCAGUGCUCUUAACCGCUGAGCCGUCUCUCCAGCCCCUUUUUUUUUUUUUUUUUCCGGAGCUGGGGACCGAACCCAGGGCCUUGCGCUUCCUAGGCAAGCGCUCUACCACUGAGCUAAAUCCCCAACCCCCCAUCAUUCACCUUUGAAAAUGCUUUUAGAUGAAUUAGCCUGGAACUCAUCAAGCAGACUAGGAUGGCCCACAAUCCCCAUUGUGGUGGUUUGAGUAAGAAUGGCUCCCUUAGAUUUGAAUACCUGGUCACUACAGAGUAGCACAAUUUGAAAGGAUUAGGGGGUGUGGCCUUGUUAGAGGAAGUGAGUCACUGGAGGUAGGCUUUGAGGUUUCAAGGGGCCAAACCGGGCCCACUGUCACUCUCUUUCUGCUACCUGCAGAUCCGGAUGUGGACCUCUUAAUUACUUCUCCAGCACCAUGUCUGCCUGGACACUGCCAUGCUUCCCACCAUGAUGAUCAUGGACUGAACCUCUGACACUGUAAGCCAGCCCCAAAUAAAUGCUUUCUUUUCUAAGGGUUGUCAUAGUCAUGGUGUCUCUUCACAGCAGUAGAAGACACCCAUGGAUCCAUCUGUGCCAGCCUCCUAGCUGGGAUUGUAAGCACAGACUACUUAGUUCAGGGAGGGGUUGUUUAGUUGCUUGCUUUGGUUUUUAGCAUAGGAUUUAGCUUAUACCCUUAUGCGCGAAAGGCAAGCACGUCACCCCUGAGCUAUCCAUCUCCCUGGCUCAUAUCUAAGCAUUUUAAAGAAAUUGACUGUUGUAUAUUUUACCCUAAACAUUCUAGUAUGCAUCUAUAAAAGGUAAGAGGUGUUAUCGUCAUAAACAUAAUCUUGUCACAUCCAUCAAACUGAUUGUUUAUACCCAGAGUGUAAACAGUGGGCUUGGGAUUUGGACAGCCCGCCACCUGCACCUCAGACUCCAGAGUCUGUGUUCUCAAAUCCUGCUGUGUAUGAGCAGCUAAGCCCUAAGACUACAGUGCUCUUAACUGGGUCAGUCUUCUGUUCUAGAUCAGAGCUCAGAGGUGCAUUCUGGUGCUCACCGGAGCAAGGACACCCUGCAGUCCCUGACCUCUAGUCUGCUGUCUGUGACCCACUGCGCUGGGUCAACACAAUAACUCAUGGCUGUGGUUAUGAAAAGCCACAGCCAAGUUCCGCUUCAGCAGGGGCUGUGCUACAAGGCUGGCCUGCUACCAGGCAACAGGAUGAGAAUGGGGUUACAAGCACCGCUCUCAAGACACCAUGAAAGCCUGGUGGUGUUAUUUAAUAUCUUUAAUCCCAGCCUUAGGAAGGCAGAGGCAGGUAGAUCUACAGACCCAGUUCUGGGCCUACACUGAGAAGAAACCUUGGCUCCAAAAAAAGCGGGGGUUGGGGGGCUGGAAAAAUGGUUCAGCAGUUCUGCUUUCCAGAGGCCCUGGGUUCAAAUCCUACCACCCACAUGUCAGCUCACGACCCUCUAUAACUCCAAGAACUGACACUUUCACAUAGGUGUACAUGCAGGCAAAAUACCAAUGCACGUAAGAUAAAGGUUAACAAACAAACAAACAAACAAACAAACAAACAAACCAAAACAGAAAAGAUACUGUGAAACUCUGGGAAGGCCUAGGCGGUAGCCGGCUGAGGAGCAGGCUGUAGCCAGGUAGCUCUGUGACUUUGCUGGAAGCACAUCAAAUACUUGGCACUCGGCCUUUCCCUCCCCCUGGGGACCAGACCUGGAGGGUCAGAAUGUAUGCUAUGGCUGUGAAACGUGAAAUAGUGCCUGUCACUUGCUGCACAGGGACACCGAUGCACCGAGAACACUUCUCCUAUUGGGAGGUGCAUGGCCUUUAACGCUGGUGGAAAUCUGGCCAGUGGAUGGGCAUCUAGGGCAGAACAGUGUGUCUGAGGUGGCAGGACACAUGGAGCAGCUCCCUUCUACACUCCAUCUGUGGGCGGGGCAGGAGGGAUGGGGGAGGGGAGGCUCCUGGGGACAUCCUGAGCCAGGCCUGGCACAGCUGCAAAGGCAGCAGCUGUAGAGCUCCAGGGUGGGUCUGCGGUGGCUUCUCCUUCCUUGGGCUGAACAGGCAUCCUUCUGCUCUCCCCCAGCCAAAGCACGAGCCGUGUUGGGCAGGGACUAUAGCACUCAGUCCUCCCCAUAGAGAGGCUUGACCAGGUGGAGAGGGAAGUGUGGCUUAGGAUGUGAAGAAAAACGGAGACAAAGGUGCUGAGGUGUCUUGAUGUUUGCAGGGAAGGAAAGGAGACCGUGGUCACUACUUUGAUGUAUUUUGUGUUAUGUAACUUCAGCUGAACUCCUUCCUAAAGGAAGAGCCACUGGAAUUUGGGUUCUGUAGGGAACGUGGCAGGUGAACCCUGGGGGAACUAGCGGCAGGUUCUGAGUCAGUUCGGGCAGGGACAGAGGGUGGAGCUUGCACACUGGAGGUUGGCCAGUGGGUAGCGCAACGGUGAAAAGGGUAAAAUGAGAUGGGGGAGAGCCCAUGUGUGGGGAAGCUCACAAAAUUUGGGCACAAUGAUAUGUCUCCCACUGCCACUUCUCUACUGGGAGUUGGAUGUGUUAAGUGGGUCCCACUGGGCUUGGGAACAUGUAAGUUAUGUUCCAUCACAGUGACAAGGAAUCAAGUGGAAAUGUCCCUUGGAUGUAAGGGGCAGGAAGUCAUCUUGAAGGAUCAGAGAUGGUGGAGCAUGCACAGCGUGAGCCCCUGCAGAGAGCCCCAGUAGCUGGGUGGGAGCCUCCCAGAGAUCCACUACUGGAGUCAAUCCAACAUGGCCCACUAGGACCCUUUCUAAGCUCACCAGUCAUGGAUGCUUCCAAGACUGGUACAGGUUCAGGCGCCUGAGCCUUAGAGAGCUGAAUACUUCUCCGUGUCUCUUGGCACCUUUCUCCUUGGGGCCCAACAUCUGGUCUGUGUGGUUAGGCAUCGGUGGGGUGGGGUAGGGAAUAAAGGACAGACAUAUACUCCUCAUCCUCCCCUGACAAGUAAACGGGCCUUCCCACGGCUGCAGAGAAGGAGUUUCUCAUCUCCUUCCUCGUUACAAAGGCAAGACUCACCCUAAAUCUCUAAUGGCUGCUGGAUUGAGCAGGCCUUCAGUGAGAAAGCUGAGGACAGAGCUUCAGUUAUGAUCCAUCCUGGCAUCUACAGAUCAGGGUGGUGUAGGUACGUGUGUGUGUGUGUGUGUGUGUGUGUGUGUGUGUGUGUGUGUGUGUGUGUGCGUGUGCCAGGAGCACUCAGUUUGGUCUAUCCACAGAGGAAAGUUGCAGAGGAGAAAGCCUGUGUCUCUGGAGUCAGGGUACUCUGAGCAGCAAUCAGGAAG